GCUGGGGACGGUGGCGCGUUCCUGUAACUCUGCGACUGGAGAGCUUAGGUUGUCGGAGGGGCGGCCGUCGGGAUUAGCGCUGGCGCACGUUGCAUGUUGAACGGGUGUCCGCACUGAGCUCGGUGUCAAUAUGGUUGUCGACGGGAAGCUGACGACGACCAGGUUGAUUAAAGAGGAGCGCAAGGCUCAGGACGGAAACGUAGCAGGCAAAAGCUCCCGCGCCGCGCAGUGGUGGGAUCGCACCUGUGAAUGUGCGUUCGUCUGCGCCCCGAUUAGGUCGUUCCGACCCAAUCUUUU
rnacentral:SRP_RNA from 1 species